rnacentral:tRNA from 3 species
CGGGAUGUAGCUCAGUUGGUAGAGUACUCGUCUGGGGGGCGAGAAGUCGCAGGUUCAAGUCCUGUCAUCCCGA